rnacentral:tRNA from 1 species
GCAGUACUAGUGUAAUGGUAGCGCUUCAGAUUUCCAUUCUGAUUGUAGGGGUUCGAUUCCCCUGUACUGCU